ACAUCAAUUUUACUUGAAUCCAUGAAAUUUGAAAUUUAACCCCCACCACUAAUGCUACUGAUCAUUCAAAAUAAUCAUCUUAUCCUGCCACCCUUUGUAAUUUGGGACACUUCUUUCUUUCUUGUGGGGCAACAUUAAUGCUAGUAUAUAAGCUGACACCACUGGCCGUAGUUUAAAAGACACACUGUUAUUUUCCUCCAUAGCCAUUGUUUAUACCGUCUUUCUAUUUCAUCAAAUGAAUCAUAUUCCAUACAUACCAGUAUAUACAUGAACGGAGUCCUCAAAAGAAAGAUUUGGAAAAGCAAUUAAUGAAGUUACUUGAUAUUAAUCUUUAAUAUCUAAAAGGGCAUGUGGAGCUAUAGAGUAUGGAAGGCUUUAAGAUUCAUAUAUAUAUAUGAGGGGCUUAGCCUAAAUUGUUAAAGGCAAACAAGAAACAAAAUUAGAACUAGUUCUGUUUCUUAAAGCAAUUUCUUGUGUAUUUUUUUAGUAAAUAUGGUUCCUCAAACACAAACUCAUCAGACAGACAAGCUUGUUAAAGUUGCUUU
rnacentral:lncRNA from 1 species